GAUUAGCUCAGCUGGGAGAGCACCUCCCUUACAAGGAGGGGGUCGGCGGUUCGAUCCAGUUGGUAGAGCA
rnacentral:tRNA from 1 species